rnacentral:ncRNA from 1 species
UGCUCCGGUGUCAGGGGCGGUCUUUCCCAAGGACCACGAGGGCGAAAGAACCCCGACCAAGCCCCACCCCUCCCGCCCGCGCCGCAAACUCACUCACGCGGGUGAACAUCACCAACUCGGCUGGAUUUCGGCCCGGUUGCCUGCCUUACGCUCGCCGCAACACAACCGCAGACAUGCGACGGCCCUCGCCGGGACGCCAAUCCCAGUGCGAGGGCCUGACCACCGAGGAAGAUGAGGCCUUCCCG